AGAGUUUGAUCAUGGCUCAGAACGAACGCUGGCGGCAGGCUUAACACAUGCAAGUCGAACGGUUGUAGCAAUACAGCAGUGGCAGACGGGUGAGUAACACGUGGGAACCUUCCUAGGGGUACGGAACAACUCAGGGAAACUUGAGCUAAUACCGUAUACGUCCGUGAGGAGAAAGUUUUAACGCCCCUAGACGGGCCCGCGUAGGAUUAGGUAGUUGGUGAGGUAACGGCUCACCAAGCCUACGAUCCUUAGCUGAUCUGAGAGGAUGAUCAGCCACACUGGGACUGAGACACGGCCCAGACUCCUACGGGAGGCAGCAGUGGGGAAUCUUGGACAAUGGGCGCAAGCCUGAUCCAGCCAUGCCGCGUGAGUGAAGAAGGCCUUCGGGUUGUAAAGCUCUUUUACCAGGGACGAUAAUGACGGUACCUGAGAAUAG
rnacentral:rRNA from 1 species